rnacentral:lncRNA from 1 species
UUUGUGUUUCAGGGUGUAGGAGGAAGCCCUGGGGUGCUUGCAAACCCACAGACUUUCCAUCCUUUUAUAGAAGAAGGGGUGGUUACUUCUUAACCAUUGCAUCCCUUCGAUAUCAAUUCUGGCCAUUGAUUUAAUCAAUGGACCAGAACACACCCAUUCGCCUAAGGCAGUUACCAGACGUCCUGGACCUGCUUAUCCACUCCUAGACAUGUCAAACUGAAGCCCACACGGAUUGCCCAUGCCCAUGGCCUGACCAGAAGAGUCCACCUGUCCAUAGCCAUCCUUGGCCAACAAAACGGCUCGGUAACCGCCCAGACCUGACCCACUGGUCCGAGACCUAAACAUUCAGUCCAGCUGAGUUGAGCUGAUCACCAGGUGACCCAGAUGAGUGAACUACUCCAUCCAGUUCAGGGAUCUGACACACUCUACUUGAGCUCCAACCAAGCUUCGUCUAGCUGGUUGAGCUUCUUGCUUGCAUCGCCUAGCUGCUAGACACUUCGUCCAGCUUGCUCUCUUCAUCUUAUUCAAUUCUUCUAAGUCCCUUGGCCUAAUCCCAGACUAGACUAAGUUUUCCCAUGAUCCAUGCUGACUUACACUUGGUGAGCUACCUCUGAGCUUCCAUGAGCUGACUGAGCUUCACCAUUGCAUCGUCCAGCUACCGUAACACUCGACCAGCUCCUUUGAGCUUGUUUCCGCCUUGUCUUGGUUAAGUCUCAGCUAUAUGAUGUCCUUAACCAUGCUGAUUGUCCAUGAUACGCUUGUCUUUAGGUCAUGUGACCUGACUGGUGUGUCUCCUCGCACUAAGGUCUGUCUGGACGAUCCUAUCCAGAAUUGGGGACAUGACAAUUGACAUCUUUUUGCAAAGAUAAGAAAUUGUUAAACCGAACACCACGGACCCGAUGUCCGAAGAAGCUCCUGGGAUGCCACAACAAAAACACGCCCGCGCGAAAGAUACUCCAGCUUGUAUGACCAACCAAACUGUAAUAUUCCUUCCAUGUCUCGUUCUUGAAAACAAGAAACAACUAGAUUUUGACCCGCACGAAUGUGUGGAUAAUUGUUUCAUUUUGUAAAUGUAUAGGAAAAUCGUCUAUGUCGAGCAUCUAUAUCAAUUUUUUUAUUGAUCAUCCUUACAUAGCACAUGUAAAACACCUGAACAAAAGAUACAACGCAGAACCUUUUUUUUUUAAGAAAACCCCAUAGAGAACUUGUUCAGAAAAAUUUUAUGUCUAGUUGAAUAGUUCGUGCUUGCCAUCGAAAUCAUUUUUCUAAUGAACUAGGUUUCCAUCAUCUACAUUAAAGUUUUAAUAUAGAACAUAAGUAAUAUACAAACAAUAAUGUAUUAGGGUGAUGAGAUUUAAAUUAUACUUCCGAAUCAAUCUAAAUUGUGUAUCAUAAAAUAAUACUAAUAUAUUUGUACAUAUAUAUUCAUUGAAGGUAAAUAUGUUAAAAAGGCUGGUGAUAUGGCAUCACUUGAUGGAGAAUACUGCCUUUCCAAAUGACGUAUGUACGUGGAUUAUUAAUUCAUUGAGAUAAGUACUUUAAUAUUAGGAACAUAAUGUGAUGCAAUUUCGAUAUGAGUUUGUUAUAUUAUUAGCCUAUUAAGCGGAGGAUUUUAUUUGAACAGAGAAUUAAUCCAUUGGAAUAAAUAGUGUAUUAAGUGGACCAAAUAUUGUGUACCAAGGACAAAUUUAAGUAGGACUCUAUUUCAACAGAGCAUUCUUAACUUCCAAUAAAAUGAAUCAAACGGCGAGGAACGUUGAAACUAACGACUUGGAAGAACGGAUGUCAUGUCUCCCCUAUCUCUGAUUCCAAGAGCCACACAAACAAAGCAAAUGACAGACGAGACUUCUCUACCACACUGAUACCUGCAAAAGAUUUUGACCCAUCAACGAGAGGGACACAGCCCAAACGAUGAUGCUGGGAUGGCUCCACCCUAAUACCGCGCCACCACUAUUAGAUCUCCGACACGAGAACCGAAGAACAAAGCUUCUCUUACUCGCCAAAUCCACGACCGAGAGGUGAUUCGAUAGUAAACAAAUCAACAAGGCCCUUGAAGCAAGUACUGGUUAUUGAUCCAAACCAACCAACGAGAACGAAAGCCGGAUGGAUCUACACACUCCAAAUCCAGUGAGCAAAAAAGACAAAGAUCUGUAGCUGCCAACGCCUUCACGCAUGUCUUGUCGUUACUCCACUACCUGCCCUUCGAACGCCGCCAUUCCGAACAGAGACGUCGUCGCCGAGACAACAGAGCAAGCAAACACGUCGACAUGAGAUGGAGAAGAGUCUCGAGAGAAAAACCAAAGCAAUACACAAAAGUAAAGAGAAAGAGGUCACACCGGCACCGACACAGCGGCCGGAUACCGGUGAAAACAAGAUUGAGAUUAGGUUGCCUGCAAGGGAGCGGCUAGGGCUUUUGAACUUUUCGAAUGGGGUUGUUUGUUUGUUUGUACCAUAAAUUUUGUCAUCACUCAUCAGUGCUCGACUUUCUUACAGUUGAUAUCAACGGAGUCUAACCGAAUAAACUAACGGAGAAAGGAGAGUGAAUUCUUUAUUUUCUACGAAUGAUGCAUUCAAUUUGUAUCAAAUAUCCAUGUGAUAGAAUCCUGCAUAAAGUGGAAAGAUGAAAUGAGAAUUCUGUAUCCUUGGAACUAUAAUCAUAACUAUUUAUUUUAAAAAUUCUCUUCAAGAAAUUGUAUUAACUCCUUCAGGAGUCCAUUCCUCUAUCCCCUGCUACAGAAAAGAUAGUUCCUUUUUGAUGCAGUAUAGUUCAAAUUUCUCAGCUAAGCCGCAUUGCGACUAAAAUAAGCCGUUAUGGCUAUCAUUUUGCCUCCAAUACAACUUUCUUCUAUCUGAAAUCACAAUAUAUAUAUUGUUAAUAAAAAGGUUUGCAACAAAUUAUCUUUCAUAAAGAACACAAAAUGUUUAGGUUUAAGGAAAAAAUGUGUUUUAGGGCAACAUACUAUACAAUUUUGAAUAUGUUUGGAUUAACUUUGUUAUCAUAUAUUAUCGGAUCAGGUUCGGUAUCUAAUCUCUUGUAACACCCGUUCAGAUAUUUUAUAUAUAUAUCAGAUUGGGUUCGGAUUCAUAUCUUGGAUUCAGAGAUUAUGCCCAACCCUAGUGUUUUAAUAGAUAAAGGUGUUACCUCAAGAGUUAGGGGAGGUGACGAGAGGGAAGCCAGUUCUUCCAACUGUGCUAAAUCAACAUUUUUCGGUAGAUACAUGAUGAUAUUCGGAGUAAUGGACUGAACAAUCUUAAACAAUGAGUACCUAUACAGAAACAAGUCUUCACUAAAAAUGUAUAUACUUUUCAUAAGAAUUAAGAACCAAGAUUAGCAUAUCAUUAGGUAAAAAAUGUUUACCCGUCUCUUGGCUGAAGCAUAUCCAUCUUGAAACUCUCGACUUUGCAAUAAUUUGGUCCUCCCCAUGGUGGCGCAAGAAACGAUACAUCUCCCUGGACAAAAUAAAAUGAGUUUUAUCUAGUAUAUAUAUUAGCACAACAACAAAAUUAAAGAGUAACCAAAAGAAAUUUUUAAUAGCAUAUAAAAAAAUGAUGGAGACGAUUACUUUGAGAGAUGGAGCUAAACUGAAGAAAUCACCAACGACAAAAUCCACAUGAUUAGCAACUCCAUAAACAUUUGCAUUGUUCAUAGCCAUUUUAACUUUCAUUGGAUCAAUGUCGAUAGCGAUUACAGAAGAAGAACUAUUUAAAGAAAAAUGGUUUAGAAAACAUUCAUAUUCAUACUUCUCUUCUUGUUUUUGAGAGAGAAAGCGAGAUAGAGAUUACACUUUAGCAAAUUGAAUAGUGUUACCACCAACGCCUGCGAAGCAAUCAAUCACCACUUUUCCACGGCACCUCUCUGCGUGUUUGAUGGCGAUCUCUUCAUGAGUCACAGAGUACCAUCCUUCUUCAUCUAUUUGGAUACCUUCGUCAUACCUCGAGAACAGAUCGUAACGUUGAAUCCAGUACCGAUUGAUCUUAGGAUUCGUACUAUUUUCUGCCUCUGUAGGAAGCACAAACAAAGAUAUAUCAUAUAUAAUUAAGAAGAAAUAAUGGAAGCAUGAAGUUUACGGAUGCUAUUUAUUUACCUUUCUUCAAGUGUGAUUGAUCGUCGAUAGUCAUUGAUCUCUUGUCACUAGCCAGUGUGAGUGAAGUAUUAAAGUCAACGCGUAACUCAACUUCUUCAUGCGAUGUCCCGACAAGAGAGAGGAUAGCCCAGAUCUCCCGGUAAUCGAAAUAUUCGGGUAUGAUAAUAAUUUGUUUAAAACUUGAUUGAUUCUCCACCGGUUUGAAAAUAACCGGACCGGUUGAUGAAAGAAACACAUUGCAUGGAAUAUGUUCUUCACUCUGCAUUCGGUAACGUUCCAUGGAAUUUGUUCUUCCCUCCACUUUUGGUAAUGUUGCAUGGUGUAUGUUCUCGUUCCAUUUUUGUUUUCAAAAACUACUGAUGCAACAAUAGUAGUCGCUAUUUUAUUAAACAUUUAGAAAUUAUUUUAUUUUGGUAAAAUGUUAAAUUUUAUAUCAUUUUUUACCAAAAAUUUCAUGAAAAACAAGUAGCAGAAAAGAUUUAAAAACCCUACUAAAAACAACAGUCUGGAAAGGAAACCAACACGGCAACCAAGUUGACCUUCCAAAGCUGCUAAAACCACACUAUUAAGACCAUGAUUAACCCCAGUCUUUUAACUGGGGUUCUUAGUUUCGGUUAAGAGACGUUCUUAGUUUUUCUUAGAUUUUAACUAAAAAAAUCUAAUAAUUGUUUUUUAAAUAAGAGAUAUAAGAACCGUUUCUUAGCCGAAAAGUAUAAAAAAAAAGUGUCAAAUCAAUAGUUAAGAACUCCGGCUAAGAGACCGGGGUUAAUCAUGCCCUUAGCUUCAGAAAGACCAAACUGGAGAUGCCGUUCUCAUACCGGCCAGAGACCAAGAGAAGCCGUCUCUUGUUCAGAAGAUAGUGUAUAGUGACAACUUUUAUAUCAUAAUGAUUAUUCUGUGUAACAGAAAGUUACACAUCAUCAAUUUGGAAUUAUGAGCACUGAUAGAAACCAAAGGAAGCGAGAGAAAGAAGCUCCAACAAGAACACACCACACACAAAAAUUGAGUUGACAAAAAGGUAAUUUUAAAAUUUAUAAAAACACAAUGAUGUUAAUAGUUAUUAAGAAAGGUGUUCAACAAAAAGAUGCAUUUACUCUGUACUUUUGCCAUUUGUUUGCCGCUAGUGGGUAAUUUUUGGCCCAAACUCAAACAACUAUGUCAUAUAUUUCCUGAAACUUUGUUAAGAAAAAUGUCUGCUGAAACAAAAGGGAGCAAAAGUAGUGCCGUAGUGGUGACAAAGUGGAUCAAAACAAUUGAAAUUGUUUAUAGUAGAAAGUAGAGUUUGAAGGUGGCUGGUGUUGAAAGAUUAAGUAUAAAAGUUUGAAGGUGGUUAGUGUCAAAAGAUAAGAUAUAAAACAUAUCUCAUUUAGUUAAGGGAGUGUGUGUGUGUGUCCCUCAAUAGACUAUAAUCGCGUCUUUAUGGAGCUCUGUGCCACACAACCCUCUCGGCUUUUUCACGUACAACUUCCCCAAAGGCUAAGGUUAUGAAAGGUUUACCCCGAACUAGAGAGAGUGUGUGUGUACCGUACAGCCCUCAAUCUAUCCGCUCCUCCCACCAGCUUCCUCAAA